rnacentral:tRNA from 1 species
GCGGUCGUGGCGGAACUGGCAGACGCACUGGAUUUAGGUUCCAGCGCCGCAAGGCGUGGGGGUUCGACUCCCCCCGACCGCA